rnacentral:sRNA from 1 species
UAGGGAUAGAGGCGACAUCCUCUCUUUCACUACGGAGUAGUUACAGAGAGAUAUAGCUGAAAGCCCGGUGCUCC